GAUGAACGCUGGCGGCGUGCCUAAUACAUGCAAGUCGAGCGAACAGACGAGGAGCUUGCUCCUCUGACGUUAGCGGCGGACGGGUGAGUAACACGUGGAUAACCUACCUAUAAGACUGGGAUAACUUCGGGAAACCGGAGCUAAUACCGGAUAAUAUAUUGAACCGCAUGGUUUAAUAGUGAAAGACGGUUUUGCUGUCACUUAUAGAUGGAUCCGCGCCGCAUUAGCUAGUUGGUAAGGUAACGGCUUACCAAGGCAACGAUGCGUAGCCGACCUGAGAGGGUGAUCGGCCACACUGGAACUGAGACACGGUCCAGACUCCUACGGGAGGCAGCAGUAGGGAAUCUUCCGCAAUGGGCGAAAGCCUGACGGAGCAACGCCGCGUGAGUGAUGAAGGUCUUCGGAUCGUAAAACUCUGUUAUUAGGGAAGAACAAAUGUGUAAGUAACUAUGCACGUCUUGACGGUACCUAAUCAGAAAGCCACGGCUAACUACGUG
rnacentral:rRNA from 1 species